rnacentral:tRNA from 1 species
GAUGGUGUAGCUCAGGGGUAGAGUUCAUGCUUAGCAUGCAUAAGGUCCUGGGUUCAAUCCCCAAUACCUCCG